GAUCCUGGCUCAGAAUCAACGCUGGCGGCGUGCCUAACACAUGCAAGUCGAACGCGAAAGGGGAGCAAUCCCUGAGUAGAGUGGCAAACGGGUGAGUAACACGUGGGUGACCUGCCUCAGAGUGGGGGAUAACGUCCCGAAAGGGACGCUAAUACCGCAUAACAUCCUGCCUUUGGAAAGGCGGAGAUCAAAGCCGGGGAUCGCAAGACCUGGCGCUUGAAGAGGGGCCCGCGUCUGAUUAGCUAGUUGGUGGGGUAAUGGCYCACCAAGGCRACGAUCAGUAUCCGGCCUGAGAGGGCGGACGGACACACUGGGACUGAGACACGGCCCAGACUCCUACGGGAGGCAGCAG
rnacentral:rRNA from 1 species